AUGCCGGCGUCGCCGCCCUCCCGGUCCCCGGAGAUCACCAGCGUUUGCUCUGACUCCGACUCCGAGGAGCCGUCGCCUGUGAUCACCAACAGCGGCGGCGGCGGCGGGUUCGUGGUGCAGCUGGUGUCGAGGGACGUCUUGGACGGGCUCCUGGGCAAGUUCGCGGACACCAGCGAGUUCGACUUCGACUACGGGAGGAGCGGGCUCUGGUCGCCGCUGGUGCUGCGGCCUGAGGUCCUGCUCCUCGCCCAGGCGUCGGCGUCGUCGGCCCGGCGCCGGCAGCGGCGGUGGCGGUGGCGGAAGCGGAGGAAGGUGAGCACCGGUUGA
rnacentral:rRNA from 1 species